rnacentral:rRNA from 1 species
GAGCAGCAGUGGGGAAUUUUGGACAAUGGGGGAAACCCUGAUCCAGCCAUCCCGCGUGUAUGAUGAAGGCCUUCGGGUUGUAAAGUACUUUUGGCAGAGAAGAAAAGGUAUCCCCUAAUACGGGAUACUGCUGACGGUAUCUGCAGAAUAAGCACCGGCUAACUACGUGCCAGCAGCCGCGGUAAUACGUAGGGUGCAAGCGUUAAUCGGAAUUACUGGGCGUAAAGCGUGUGUAGGCGGUUCGGAAAGAAAGAUGUGAAAUCCCAGGGCUCAACCUUGGAACUGCAUUUUUAACUGCCGAGCUAGAGUAUGUCAGAGGGGGGUAGAAUUCCACGUGUAGCAGUGAAAUGCGUAGAUAUGUGGAGGAAUACCGAUGGCGAAGGCAGCCCCCUGGGAUAAUACUGACGCUCAGACACGAAAGCGUGGGGAGCAAACAGGAUUAGAUACCCUGGUAGUCCACGCCCUAAACGAUGUCAACUAGCUGUUGGGGCCGUUAGGCCUUAGUAGCGCAGCUAACGCGUGAAGUGACCGCCUGGAGUACGGCAAU